rnacentral:misc_RNA from 1 species
GAUGAAGAACGUAGCGAAAUGCGAUAAGUAGUGUGAAUUGCAGAAUUCAGUGAAUCAUCGAAUGUUUGAACGCACAUUGCGCCCCUUGGUAUUCCAUGGGGCAUGCCUGUUCGAGCGUCAUUUGUACCUUCAAGCUUUGCUUGGUGUUGGGUGUUUGUCCCUCGGGACUCGCCUUAAAGUCAUUGGCAGCCAGUGUUUUGGUUUUGAAGCGCAGCACAAGUCGCGAUUCAAGGCUAUCCGCCCGCUUCCACAAGCCUUUUUCACUUUUGACCUCGGAUCAGGUAGGGAUACCCGCUGAACUUAAGCAUAUCAAUAAGCGGAGGA